CAGUAUCCAAAUUAUAUGGAUGUAAUAAAUGAUAUGUUUUUGAUUACUGACAAUUUGUUUGAAUCAAAUUUUGUUUCAAAGAUUAUUUUAAUUUCGUUUUGUCAUACUUAUAUAAACAGCAUAAAUGUAUAAUUCAAUACCUAUAAUAAUACAUAAAUAUCAUUGUUAGCGUAAAAAGUGUGAUAGUGACGACAUAAGCAAUUUAAAUUAAAUUUGUAUGGAUAUAAUAGUACUUAAAAACUAAAAAAAUAAAUGGUUUUUGUGUAUAAACAAGUCAUAUUAUUUUCUACUAAAAUGAAUAAAUUGUGUAAAUAGUUAAAACUUGUUUUUGUUACAUAAUAUUUCAAAACCACU